GACUCGACCAACUUGCUGGGGAGCGUGGAGUAGGUCUUGUUAAAGGACUUCCCAUCGAUCCCUGGAGGAGGAGAGUUUUUAAGACUGCUCCUACUAUUCUUUCCUACAUCCCUCCUAAGCAAAGGAAGUUGCUCUUUUCAGAAAAGAUGAAGGUGCCAGAACUCAAUUUCAAAGUAGCAAAACAAAUCUCAACAGAUUUUCAAACUGCAGAAAUAGACAGAAAAAGAGAGAAGAGUUAGCUCUCUGUGUCAUAGACACUUGCACUGAGGAACCAUAAAAGGUUCUGUGGUCCAGGUGAUGAUUCGAGACACUGCUAACCUAGUUUCACUUGAAUUUACAAAAUCUCCUGGAUCCAUCUGUUGCGCAAG